UGGAGUCGAGCGUCGACUGACUGACUGACGCGAGACGAGGACGCUCGCGGUCUUGGUCUUGGUCGCGGUAGCGGCCGCGUGGAGGUCGAGCGCAUUUGCCCGGCUUCAAAAAGCACUCCUCGUCCACAACGAACGGCACCGAGUGUUGAGAAGACCUUCGGAGAAGAACGUUUGAAGAUCAAGAUCUGGACUAAAAGCCACAGUGUACUUGGAAGCAGUGAUUCCCAUUUUCCUAUACAUUUCAGAGCAAAAUAAAUCUUUUCAGCCUGGCAAAGUAUCUGUGAGUACAACAGCACACAAACGGAGAAAGGUCCACCAACCUAACUCUUGGAAGUGAAUGUAAAGAUAACAAAGGAGAUGUGCGGGGCAUGUUUUUAUACACAGAGUGGUCUACUCUUUAAUCACCAGUCACUCUACUCCAUACCAGCAGUUUAGGGAAGACCUCUCAGUAAAACACUCAAGGCCUGCCACUGCUCCAUGAAGAUACAAUGAUGUAGUCACCAGGUGUGCUGCAAGC